AAAUAAGAUUCACUGAAACCCCAGACUAAGAAUUUCAACCAACACAAAUUUAAUUUCAAAACAGAAAGCGUUAAAGGAAAUCGUAGUAAAGAAGCCCACAGCCAGCUUUAGUGCUUAUAAUGUCAAAAUAAUCGCAGAUAUCAAUUACAUCAAAAGAAAAGAAAAAUUACAAUACGCAUGCCCACCCCCACACACUGACAGGAAACCCAAAGAAAGUUUCCAAAUCCUGUUUCCGGCAGCAUCCCUUCUGAGACUGACAUUCAGCAUGCUUGUGAAGGUAGGAGCCCCAUGUUAAAACUAAGAGCUGAUACUUUAACUGUAAUAAAAACAGAAGAAUCAUCAUCCCACACCCAGGAGGCAGAAAACUGUGGCCACCGCAGUGAAUUACACAAUUCAGCUGAAGACACUGUCCUUAACUUCCUGAGUGAGGGGGCAGGCGACACUCCUCCCAGCCCCAUUUGAAGGAAGAAUCACACGAUGACCUCUUCCCUAACAAAAUUCAAGGAAGAAGAGAACGCAAGAAAAGCAACGCCGGAAAAGCGAACACAUUGGCAUGCCAGCUUUUGUAGCUGAAGCCCUGCUGCCCCCAGCUGCGUUGCCUUGAGCCAUCUGCAUUCUGAGCAAGCGAAAGCUGUGACCUGGGGACUGCUGACAUGACCUCUGAGACACAGGCCAAUCCCAUUGCCCAGUUUUUUUCUCUCUUUUUGCCACGAGUUUUGCCUAUAAAAGCAUUGGGUUUCUCGCCAUCUU